ACCGACUUGCAGUUGAAUGCUACGAACAGGUCUCUCUCUCUCUCUCUCUCUCUCUCUCUCUCUCUCUCUCUCUCUCUCUCUCUCUCUCUCUCUCUCUCUCUCUCUCUCUCUCUCUCUCUCUAUAUAUAUAUACAUA
rnacentral:sRNA from 1 species